GACGAACGCUGGCGGCGUGCUUAACACAUGCAAGUGGAGCGACGAACCAGGGCUUGCCCUGGGGCAAAGCCGCGAACGGGUGAGUAACACGUGGGUAACCUACCCCGAUAAUCGGGACAACCCGGGGAAACUCGGGCUAAUACCGAAUGUGCUUCAGGUCCAUGAGGCCCUGAAGUAAAGAUAGCUUCGGCCUUCGUAUCGGGAUGGGCCCGCGGCCCAUUAGCUUGUUGGUGAGGUAACGGCUCACCAAGGCGACGAUGGGUAGCUGGUCCGAGAGGACGAUCAGCCACACUGGGACUGGGACACGGCCCAGACUCCUACGGGAGGCAGCAGUGGGGAAUCUUGCACAAUGCGCGAAAGCGUGAUGCAGCAACGCCGCGUGGGGGAAGAAGGCCUUCGGGUUGUAAACCCCUUUCAGUUGGGACGAAGCUUCGCCGGUGAAUAGCCGGCUGGAGUGACGGUACCUUCACAAGAAGCCCCGGCUAACUACGUGCCAGCAGCCGCCGUAAUAC
rnacentral:rRNA from 1 species